AUUGGUCCAUGAAAUUGCACAAUUCAGAUUCAUACGAAGUUCGUUCUGAAAUAGAGUGGUUGGUGUAUUGCAUAGUUUUAGAGAUUGCAUUUCACUCAAAACUCACCAAAUGACACCUCCCACCAUACUAUGAUGUUCCCUAAGUUUUGGACACAAUCCGAUAUCGAUUGGUCUAUGAAUUGGACAAUUCAGGUUCGUACGAAGUUCGUUCCAAAAUGGAGUGGUUGGUGUAUUGCAAAGCUUUAUAGUUUGGAUUUC
rnacentral:lncRNA from 1 species